rnacentral:misc_RNA from 1 species
UGGCUCUGGCAUCGAUGAAGAACGCAGCGAAAUGCGAUAAGUAAUGUGAAUUGCAGAAUUCAGUGAAUCAUCGAAUCUUUGAACGCACAUUGCGCCCGCCAGCACUCUGGCGGGCAUGCCUGUCCGAGCGUCAUUAACACCACUCGGGACCCCUCGGUCCCGGCGUUGGGGACCGGCCACGCGCCGGCCCCGAAUUAUAGUGGCGGUCGUCACGCGACUCCCCUGUGCAGUAGCGAUACCACGCAGAGGGCCUAGCGGGUCAACCACGCCGUAAAACCCCCAACUCUAUGAUGUUGACCUCGGAUCAGGUAGGAAUACCCGCUGA